rnacentral:rRNA from 1 species
UACGUAGGGUGCAAGCGUUGUCCGGAAUUAUUGGGCGUAAAGAGCUCGUAGGCGGUCUGUCGCGUCUGCUGUGAAAACUCGGGGCUCAACUCCGAGCUUGCAGUGGGUACGGGCAGACUAGAGUGCGGUAGGGGAGACUGGAAUUCCUGGUGUAGCGGUGGAAUGCGCAGAUAUCAGGAGGAACACCGGUGGCGAAGGCGGGUCUCUGGGCCGUAACUGACGCUGAGGAGCGAAAGCAUGGGGAGCGAACAGG